UACGUAGGGUGCAAGCGUUAAUCGGAAUUACUGGGCGUAAAGCGUGCGCAGGCGGCUAUGCAAGACAGAUGUGAAAUCCCCGGGCUCAACCUGGGAACUGCAUUUGUGACUGCAUGGCUAGAGUACGGUAGAGGGGGAUGGAAUUCCGCGUGUAGCAGUGAAAUGCGUAGAUAUGCGGAGGAAUACCAGUGGCGCAAGCGGCGCUCUGGGUCGAGCCUGACACUGAGACGCGAAGGCAUGGGGAGCGAACGGG
rnacentral:rRNA from 1 species